GCGCGGGCGCGCGCCCGCGUCCGCGCACUGAGAGUCGCCUCGGCCGCUCGCUUUCUCGACUCCCGCCUCGCGCCUCGAUCCUGUUCCGCCUCCCUCGGCCCUCCUGCCCGCCCCCACUCGUCGGCCCUCAGCUCAGAGACCUAAUAGGAUGGGGUCUUAGAGAAACAUCUUUUGAGCCACAGACUUCUUUGUUACCAGAAGGAAAAUGAAAGAAGAAAUUUAAAUACCACUUGAAGAGAGGUGCUGCCCAGUUCAUGAGUGCUGCUGCUGUCCUGCCCAAGUACCCAGCUUGCAGAGUGCCAGAGUUAGAGUCCCAGGGGUGUUCUCCACAGCUGCAUGCUUGAUCCAGGCCUAUCAGCAGCCCUGCUUCUUUAGAAUUGACAGUCUGGCUUCGUGGUUAAUUCACAGCAUCUGAGGAAUACAUCCAAAGAGGGUGAUACUGUGGCAUGAUGGUACCAGGAUUCCAAGUUCAUUCCAGGAAAAAAUCUACAACUUUCAUCAAAUUACUCAGGGAGACUUUAUUCUAAAGAGACUGAAAACGACCAACAUCAAUUUUGACUCCUAUGGGCAUCUGUAAAUAGCUUCAAGGUUUUAAGGUGAAAUGUCAUGUACCAAAAUACACAUUCUGGAGAAGCAGGAAGCUACAGACCAACUUGAGAUGAAAGUCUCAUAUCAAUGUUUUCCCAAGUGUGCUCCUUGGAAUACAGGUUGACAUGAUAUGAUGCCCAGCAAGGGAAACAAAACAUAUUCAUGUUCAAAUUAGUUGGGGAAAUGCUGGACUAAAUAAGGUUUGAUGGGAUUCUUUUUUCUGCAGGACUUCUCAGAAGGGGCUAGAGUAGGCAAAGUUUCCCAGAUUUACCUAAUAAAAGCAUUGUUUCUGUGGGAGUUUCAUUUGUUAUUACAUGUUUCCUGAAUGCAGAUUCAUAGACUAUCCUUUGGGGAACCCUCGUCCUCACGGGAUGUAUGUUCAUGGUGGUGUCUUCGAGUUUGUGCCCUUGUGAAGCAUUCUGGCAGCAAGCAUCUGAACACUUCCAAAAGGGGGCGAUAUUUAGGAGAAAUCGCUCAGCCUGAGUUAGAACAAAUGCAGCUGCUGGUGUCUCUUGGUGCCUGGGAGCCCUAGAGUGUCAGAGGGAGGAGCGUGCACACUGGAACCAGCAGCCUGGUGCUGCGUCUCAGCUCUGUCGCUAACUGGCUAUGCACCUCUGGGCAUGGCACUUAACCCUUCUGAGCCCCAGCCCGCCAUCUGUAAAAAGGGCUUGAUGUGAGGAUUGAAUGAGAUCAUGCAGGGAACACAAUGUCUGGCACUUGGAAGCGUCCACCAUAAAGAGCCAAGGCAGUAGAUGGCCCAGCUGGGUUUGGUCCAGGCAGAGUUUACCCUCUGCCCUGGAGGCUCCAGGAAAUGCUGCCACGUGGCUCCUAUUGCCUUAACCACAUCCGACCUGUUCCUGACAGCUCCCCACAUCUCCAGCUCCUUUGCUGGUGCUCCAGGCACCUCCAAACGUGGCGAGCCCCUCUCCCCUGCCCUCUUGUGGCAGCUGACCUGGCAGGAGUGGGACCAAGACAUCCAAGGCAGCUCCUUUCCACCUGCAUGGGCACUUUCCUCAGGACAUCCUUGCCCCUGGCACCACCUUGGGCCAGCAAGCCACAUGGAAAUGGAUGCAGAGGCACCACUGUUUGCUGACAAUUAUACACUGUCCUUAAGGUCACCCUUGGCGAUCUGUCACCAGGAGCAGACAAACCCACACCUCAACCAUCCCAUCAGAGCUUGUUUCUAUCUGCAUCUGUCAUCGCUGAUCGCAUUUGAAU
ensembl:lncRNA novel transcript, antisense to CBLN1